rnacentral:rRNA from 1 species
GAGUUAUUGGAUAAUUUGUUCUGCUCAAUGAAUAAUUAAAUAGCCGCAGUACCCUGACUGUGCAAAGGUAGCAUAAUCAUUUGGCUUAUAAUUGAAGUCUUGUAUGAAUGAAACGAUGGGGGACAACUAUAUCAUAAAUAUUAUAUUAAAUUACCUGAGAAGUGCAAAUGCUUUUAUAUAAAUAAUAGACGAGAAGACCCUUGAAAUUUUAAGAAGAGUGUCAAUAAAGAUUUUUGUUGGGGCAACAAUGUAACAAGAAACUUACAUUUUAAACAUGAAACGAAAUAGAUUGAUUAAAUUACUCUAGGGAUAACAGCGUAAUAUUGAAAUGUUUGCGACCUCGAUGUUGGACUAGGAAACAAAAGCUUAGAAGGUUACUUGGCAUGCUCUGUUCGAGCA